rnacentral:rRNA from 1 species
GACGUAGGGCGCGAGCGUGUCCGGAUUUAUUGGGCGUAAAGAGCUCGUAGGCGGCUUGUCGCGUCGAAUGUGAAAACCCGCAGCUCAACUGCGGGCUUGCGGUCGAUACGGGCAGGCUGGAGUUCGGUAGGGGAGACUGGAAUUCCUGGUGUAGCGGUGAAAUGCGCAGAUAUCAGGAGGAACACCGGUGGCGAAGGCGGGUCUCUGGGCCGAUACUGACGCUGAGGAGCGAAAGCGUGGGGAGCGAACAGG